ensembl:lncRNA
UCAGUUUUGCCAUCACAGUAAAGGUUUAGGGAGUGUGUAGAAGCACAGCUCCAGGUGACAUAGACAAGAAGCCUUCUGAAACAUGUCUGUACCUUGGUUUUUAGCUUUCUUUUAAGUAUUUUUAAAAAUGAUCUCUGUCUGGUAUUGUAUCAUGUACAAGUAAUUUGACCUUCUCAGGUGGGUUGUGUUGGCUGUGCUUGAUGGUGCCUGGCUAAAUUCCUACUUGAUCCAGAUGUGAGGCUGGCUGUAUCAAAGCAGAACAAUAAAUAAUACCUAUCUUUAGGUUAAAACUGGAGACAUGCCUGUGGCUGAGGACUGGUGGCUGGAGUUGUGACAGCAGACAAAACGAGAGGUAACCCCAUAAGCUCCUGACUAAAACACUGCAGGAAUGUAGAAAAAAAUCAGUGACCAGAUCUGUUCCAAGUCAGUGCUGUGUGAAGAAGUGUUAGGAAUUGCUCUUCUGUAGUGAUAAACUACUUGCUGUAAAUUUCUGGCUAUUGCAAAUCUGGCUCUUGGAGGUGAGGUGAUAUUCAGUGAGCCAACAAGUGACCAUGGCACAAGGUUAGCAGAUAACUGUUACCCUUUAUGAUGGGAUAGCCCUGAAGAAAAGUUAUUAUUUGCCCAUUGGGCUUUUUAGCUGCACAAGGUGCUAUCAGUAGUGUACUCUUGCAUGUAUGGAGGAUAAUGCAUUAACUUGUCCAGAUUUUGAUCAUUAAUGUUUUGAAGUCUUCUAAAGAGAUUGUUCAGAGAUGUUGUGGGUGCCCCUCCCUGGAAGUGUUUAAGAACAGGUUGGAGGGGGCUUAAAGCAACCUUAGACAGUAGAAGAUAUCCCUGUCCAUGGCAGGGGGUUGGAACUGGAUGGUGUUAAAGGUCUCUUUCAACCCAAACCGUUCCUGAUUCUAUGAAUACAGGAGAGCAGAAGUUGCCGCCUGCACCUGGAGGAAGGGCACCAACCCCACAGGCGUGACUGACUCAUCCCUGUGGACUCCUGGCAGAGGUGGCAAUCUGGCAGAUUAGUGGGCGUGUGUGUAAGUGUUUUGUCAUUUUGCAGUGCAAUACCUUUAUCUGCAGGUUCCUCAGCCUUAAUCCAGUCAGGCAAGAAAAUAAGUAGCUGCUGCCCAACAUUAUAUCUUCAUGGGAAAACUCCAAAUGAGCCAGAGCAGCCAGGCAGAGCUGGGUAAGACUGAGAGAGACUGGGGCAGGAUGGCAGCAGAUGAGUGGUUAGAGGGUCACCUCUGAGACCUUGGGAAUCCCUGGCUGGGUUACCUUUGCUCGCAGUAUUCCCCAGACUUCUGAAAAUGGUGAGUACUUCCACAGAACGUCAUUGUUCCAGAGCUGCUGGAGAAUUAUCACUGGUCUGUAAAAUUGCUUCAUUCAUAAUCUAAAAUGCAUUUAAUUGCUAAGGCUGUCUUUACUUUGCACUUCUUUCCUUAGUUAGAUAUUUUAAUUAACCUUUGUUUUUUUUCUUGUUUUGUAAUUGGUUUCUAAUCAGUGUUGUCACUUUUAAGAAAAUUUGGAGUUUUCUUAUGGCUAUAUAUAAAGAUUACUCUUAGAACCUGCUUCACUUAAAGCUACUUUCCAACUAUGAUUCCUUUAAAAAUACAACUGACACUUUCCUAAGAAUUAAGAGCUUUACUUUUUAUCCUUGGAUGACCAUGUGAACACUAAAACCUCCU